CCUACGGGAGGCAGCAGUGGGGAAUAUUGGACAAUGGGCGCAAGCCUGAUCCAGCAAUUCCGCGUGGGUGAAGAAGGUCUUCGGAUUGUAAAGCCCUUUCGACAGGGACGAUGAUGACGGUACCUGUAGAAGAAGCCCCGGCUAACUUCGUGCCAGCAGCCGCGGUAAUACGAAGGGGGCUAGCGUUGCUCGGAAUGACUGGGCGUAAAGGGCGCGUAGGCGGCACAACUAGUCAGGCGUGAAAUUCCUGGGCUUAACCUGGGGGCUGCGUUUGAUACGGUUGGGCUAGAGGAUGGAAGAGGCUCGUGGAAUUCCCAGUGUAGAGGUGAAAUUCGUAGAUAUUGGGAAGAACACCGGUGGCGAAGGCGGCGAGCUGGUCCAUUACUGACGCUGAGGCGCGAAAGCGUGGGGAGCAAACAGGAUUAGAUACCCUGGUAGUCCACGCUGUAAACGAUGUGCGCUGGAUGUUGGUGUACGUUAGUCACUCAGUGUCGUAGCUACGACGAUAAGACGCACCGCCGUCGGGGUAGGUACGGGCCGGCCGAACGGUUAGGUAAACGUACAAUAGAAGUUAGUACGGCGUGAGACGUCGCCGAACGGACGACCGACCGAGGGGAAGGUUAGG
rnacentral:rRNA from 1 species